GACGAACCGUGCGAACGUUGUUCGGAAUCACUGGGCUUAAAGGGCGCGUAGGCGGUCUACCAAGUCUGUGGUGAAAUCCUCCGGCUCAACCGGAGAACGGCCGUGGAUACUGGGAGCCUCGAGGGAGAUAGGGGCAGGCGGAACUGAUGGUGGAGCGGUGAAAUGCGUUGAUAUCAUCAGGAACUCCGGUGGCGAAGGCGGCCUGCUGGAUCUCACCUGACGCUGAUGCGCGAAAGCCAGGGGAGCAAACGGG
rnacentral:rRNA from 1 species